CUACUAGUUGUCGGGUUUUAAUUAACUUGGUAACGCAGCUAACGCGUGAAGUAGACCGCCUGGGGAGUACGGUCGCAAGAUUAAAACUCAAAGGAAUUGACGGGGACCCGCACAAGCGGUGGAUGAUGUGGAUUAAUUCGAUGCAACGCGAAAAACCUUACCUACCCUUGACAUGUACGGAAGACCGAAGAGAUUUGGUUGUGCUCGAAAGAGAAACCGUAACACAGGUGCUGCAUGGCUGUCGUCAGCUCGUGUCGUGAGAUGUUGGGUUAAGUCCCGCAACGAGCGCAACCCUUGUCAUUAGUUGCUACGAAAGGGCACUCUAAUGAGACUGCCGGUGACAAACCGGAGGAAGGUGGGGAUGACGUCAAGUCCUCAUGGCCCUUAUGGGUAGGGCUUCACACGUCAUACAAUGGUACAUACAGAGGGCCGCCAACCCGCGAGGGGGAGCUAAUCCCAGAAAGUGUAUCGUAGUCCGGAUUGUAGUCUGCAACUCGACUACAUGAAGUUGGAAUCGCUAGUAAUCGCGGAUCAGCAUGUCGCGGUGAAUACGUUCUCGGGUCUUGUACACACCGCCCGUCACACCAUGGGAGCGGGUUUUACCAGAAGUAGGUAGCUUAACCGCAAGGAGGGCGCUUACCACGGUAGGAUUCGUGACUGGGGUGAAGUCGUAACAAGGUAGCCGUAUCGGAAGGUGC
rnacentral:rRNA from 1 species